UACAGAGGUCCCAAGCGUUGUUCGGAUUCACUGGGCGUAAAGGGUGCGUAGGUGGUUAGGUAAGUCCGAUGUGAAAUCUCCAGGCUCAACCUGGAAAUGGCAUUGGAUACUAUUUAGCUUGAGGAGUGGAGGGGGGACUGGAAUUCUCGGUGUAGCAGUGAAAUGCGUAGAUAUCGAGAGGAACACCAGUGGCGAAGGCGAGUCCCUGGACACUUCCUGACACUGAGGCACGAAAGCGUGGGGAGCAAACAGG
rnacentral:rRNA from 1 species